AGUGAACGCUGGCGGUAGGCCUGACACAUGCAAGUCGAACGGCAGCACAGUAAGAGCUUGCUCUUACGGGUGGCGAGUGGCGGACGGGUGAGGAAUACAUCGGAAUCUACUUUUUCGUGGGGGAUAACGUAGGGAAACUUACGCUAAUACCGCAUACGACCUACGGGUGAAAGCAUGGGAUCUUCGGACCUUGCGCGAUUGAAUGAGCCGAUGUCGGAUUGGCUAGUUGGCGGGGUAAAGGCCCACCAAGGCGGCGAUUCGUAGCUGGUCUGAGAGGAUGAUCACCCACACUGGAACUGGACCAGGGUCAAGACGCCUAGGGGAGGCAGCAGUGGGGAAUAUUGGACAAUGGGGGCAAGCAUGAUCCAGCCAUACCGCGUGGGUGAAAAAGGCCUUCGGGUUGUAAAGCCCUUUUGUUGGGAAAGAAAAGCAGCAGGUUAAUACCACGCUGUUGUGACGGUACCCAAAGAAUAAGCACCGGCUAACUUCGUG
rnacentral:rRNA from 1 species